rnacentral:rRNA from 1 species
CCCGUCACACCAUGGGAGUCAGCUGCUCUAGAAGUCGGUGCGCCAACCUCGUGAGGCAGCCGCCUAAAGAGUGACUGGUGACUGGGGUG